GACAGAGGGGGCAAGCGUUGCUCGGAAUUACUGGGCGUAAAGGGCGCGUAGGCGGGAUGGCAAGUCGGUCGUGAAAUCCCUCGGCUCAACCGAGGAACGUCGAUCGAUACUGCUGUUCUUGAGGAUUGCAGAGGAGACUGGAAUUCCCGGUGUAGCGAUGAAAUGUGUAGAGAUCGGGAGGAACACCGGUGGCGAAGGCGGGUCUCUGGGCAAUUCCUGACGCUGAGGCGCGAAAGCGUGGGGAGCAAACGGG
rnacentral:rRNA from 1 species